CAAUCAGCGACCUGUGUUCGAACCGCAAUCGUUUAAACUGCGCUGCGAUCACAACACUUCAUAAAACGAGCCACCCCUGGCAUUAUUGACACACUGACAAUACCUACAGUGGAAAUACCUGACGAUUUGUGAAACGAGACUCGAUAAACUUCAGAUCAUGGAGGAUGACGGCGAGUGGAUGAAGCUGCCUGUCGACCAGAAGUGUGAACACAAGGCAUGGAAAGCGAGGUUAACUGGCUACGAGGAAGCUCUGAUAGUCUUCCAGAGGAUCGACGACG